UAUUAAAAAGUUCAUCUAUUUUUACUAUUAAAAAUUAAUGUGUUUAACAAAAUAACCAGAGUGUGACAUAUAGCGUGCCACAUAUAUAUCAUGUUGAUGUACGUGUACAGGGACCAGUGUUAAUUGUAAAAAUAGAUGAAUUUUUUUUUA
rfam:Gossypium hirsutum cultivar TM-1 chromosome 24, whole genome shotgun sequence